rnacentral:rRNA from 1 species
CACGUAGGGUGCGAGCGUUGUCCGGAAUUAUUGGGCGUAAAGAGCUCGUAGGCGGUGUGUCGCGUCGGCCGUGAAAACCUGCAGCUUAACUGUGGGCUUGCGGUCGAUACGGGCAGACUGGAGGUAUGCAGGGGAGAACGGAAUUCCUGGUGUAGCGGUGAAAUGCGCAGAUAUCAGGAGGAACACCGGUGGCGAAGGCGGUUCUCUGGGCAUUACCUGACGCUGAGGAGCGAAAGUGUGGGGAGCGAACAGG